UUUUUUUUUUUUUCCUUUUGAUAACUGAGUAUAUAAUGUAAACCUUAUGUGAUCAUUGGUUUCGUUGUUCCUAAAUGGGAUACUAAUUCAAUUUAUUCAUUUCUUUUGUAGGUCUCUUUUGGUGACAAAGAGUCAAGACUUUAUGAUUGAACGUGCUAAAGCAUUAGUGUUCGAAAAUUUCAAUAUACAUUUCGCAAAUGUAAUUUUUUUUUUUGUAAUUAUAAAAAAAUUGAAGUGUUAAAUAAGAUUUUUGAAGUGCUAAUAACAAUUCCCCUUUCAGAAUUUCGUUCCAUUGGUGGCAAUUUCAGCAAUAGGAGUAUGCUUUUAUUUGUUAUGUUUCUUAAAUAGACGUAAAUACUAUGUUAUGUUUUUAUUUUUGUUUGUUGAUAAGUGCAUUGUUACAGCAACAUCAUUGCUAGAUAAUUCACAUGUUAGUCUGUACGAUAAAUAAGGUUUUAAAACUCGUUAAAUGCUAGCCGAGCGGUGGACUAGGGUCUAGAAGGAGUAAGCAGAUUUAAAUAAAUUUAUUAUAUAUCAUAUAAAUAAGUGUUUAUUUGUACUUACAAACAUACAUAAUUGUAUUAUGAUAUAUAAAUUACAAAAUAAAAUAACAUAUUGAUUAAAGUAUCAUAUUGAAAAUAUAGGAAUAAGCAUAUAAUGAAUGUUUAUCUAAAUAUUCAACAAGUCUCUUUCAAUUAAUUGAACAAAAAUAAAAUUGAAAAUAAAAGUUAUCGAUUUCUAUUUAAGUGAGAGUCGUCACACAGACGGGUGUCUAGACGGACUAAGCGGGCAUCUAGGAGGAAAUUUUUAGAACUGUGACAAUAAACCUAUCAUGUGAAAGUCUAUAUAUCUAUCCUGUGUUUUAAAUUUUUAUUAGGUCAAGCGUCUUCAGGUCGGCUCGAUGAACUUUUCGAACGAUAUUUUUCAUAAGGCAUGGGCUUAAAAUAUAUGCACAUAUUAUAACGUGAGUAAAUUUAAAACUAAAUUACACAACAAAAUACACACAUUUAAACACGAAUACGAAUUUAGUACAAGUGGACAAGUUUAAAUCUUAACGGGAUGGAGACUUUGGAGCCGUUCGGGGAGCAGAGAAACUCUUAAUAAUUGCAACAGUGGAGUUCUACUUGACUAUCAAUUUUUAUUUUGAUUUUUACUAUUAUAGUAAUAAAUUAAAAGAAAAUGAUUUAUACCAAACGUGACUUAGCAACCACAAAACUAAUGCUUACUUAAAUCUUUAGAAUCUGUGGUGACAUUUGAUACUUGUUGGACGACCAUCUUGAUAAAAUACUAGUAAGUCUGCGAAAUCUAAUUCUAAUUCAACUUUUCUUCAAACCGAUAUCUUCUUUUGAAGAAGACAAGUUUUGCAAACAUUAGCGUAGUCACGUUGCGUAGAAUUUUUAUUGUAUUCUCCUUUGUGCACGUGAUUUUAACACCUAACUUAUUUUCCUGCAGUUCAAAUCAGUAUAAGACCAUUGCUUGUAUAAGGAAAACAAAUGCACCUGGAAAUUGGAGGCAGAUUAUCUGCCCUCCUAUUUGGGCGAGGUGGAUUGUCUGUCCUCCAAUUUUCAUACUCUUCUCAUCUCCUCUUGUUUGUGUGGUCACGGUUAAACCACAUCAAUAUUUUAUAUUAAUUUUUUUUAUAAAAAUAAUAAAACAAAAAAUAAUAAGAAUAUAAAAUAUUGACGUGACUUAACCGUGACCAUACAAAACAGGAGGGGAUGAAAAGAGUAUGAAAAUGGGAGGGCAAACAAUCGACUUACCUAUUUGGAUGCCCUUUCCAUCCCCUCUUAUUUUGUGUGGUCACGGUUAAACCACUUUAACAUUUUAUAUUAACUUUUUUUUUAUAAAGAUAAUAAAACAAAAAGUAAUACAAAUAUAAAAUAUUGACGUGACUUAACUGUGAUUGCAUAAAUAAGAAGGGAUGGAAAGAACAUCCAAACAGGAGAGCAGACAAUCUGCCUUCCUGAAAAUUGUUGUUACAAGAAGCAUAUGCCAUAUGACGUCACUAACAUUAGGCAGCAGGGUCUUAUCUUUUUGGUGAAUAGACAGCAGGGUCUCUGAUUCAGAGAUUAAAGAGAACUGAUCGUUUUGAAUUGAAUAGCAAAACUAAUUACCACAUAUAUGCUGACCUUCCAAGGUCCAGAAUCCAGAUCUUUGAGAGAAACAUGGUUGUCCAAGCCGAGACAAUUUUUCAACAUAACACGUUACAUCUGGCAUAGUUUGUACGAAUAUAAGACGAUGUGCGUAAUUAAAAUUAGGGAUGGGCAAAAUACAUAUAAGUUUGGAUAACCUUGAUUACCCGUUUAUUUAAAAUUUACGGUUAUAAUUAUGGGUAACCGUUUAGACGAACAAACGGUUAUGAGUGUAACUGUUUAUCUGUGAAAUUUAAAUUGGCCGUUAUGGGUAUUAUCCGCCGUUAUAACGGGUAUCCAUCGAUUAUGGGUAUUACCAGCGGUUAUAACAGAUAUCCAUUUACCCAUUUAAUUUAAUAUAUGUAAAAUUUAAAAAAAAAUUGAAAACCCUCGUGUUGAAGAUUCCUCAUUCGAUGAUGAUACUGAUGUAAAUAUGGUAAAAACUAAUCUUUAUUUUUGUUUUUGACUUUGGAGUUAUUGGUGAUACUAAUUCAAUUUAUGCAUAUGAGUGUGUGAAAAAUCAUGGAAUGUAAACCUUUUGUUUAUGCAUAUUGAUGAAUGGUGAUACUAAAUCAAUUGAUUUGGUACUCUACUUUUGUUUUCUUUGUUUUUUUUUUUUUCCUUUUGAUAACUGAGUAUAUAAUGUAAACCUUAUGUGAUCAUUGGUUUCGUUGUUCCUAAAUGGGAUACUAAUUCAAUUUAUUCAUUUCUUUUGUAGGUCUCUUUUGGUGACAAAGAGUCAAGACUUUAUGAUUGAACGUGCUAAAGCAUUAGUGUUCGAAAGUGUUUAGUUUCAGAAUAUUUUGGAGCUUUGAAUCAUCUAGUAUUCAAGAUAAUUACUACUUUUUUAUUUUUAGAAGCUUUACUUUCUAAUCAUAUGGAUUAUAAUUAAAGACUUGUUUGGGUCUAGCAGAAAAAUAUUGUGAUGCUAAAA
rnacentral:lncRNA from 1 species